rnacentral:tRNA from 1 species
CAGGACGUAGCUACGAUACCAAAGCAUUCAGCUUACACCUGAAAGAUAUCUGUACCUAUCAGAUCGCCCUGA